AUGAUUGUGAAGGUAAUAAAUGGCAGAUGGGAAGUGAUCUACUUUGUUAGCGAGCACAACCAUCCGUUGGUUGACAAGCCAUGUUUGACUAAGUAUUUGCGAUCACACCAAGGGAUACCGCCAGAAGAAAGGGCCUUCCUUACUCAUCUUCAUAACUGCAAUAUAACUACAGGUCGUAUGAUGCACAUCAUGUCAGAUUUCUAUGGGACAGAACUCAUUGUACCUUAUGGCACUAAGCACAUUACAAACCUCAAGACGCUCUUGAACAAGGAUGAUACAAAAGAAGGGGAUAUGAUAGAGACAGUUGCUUACUUUAAAGAUCAGCAGUGA
rnacentral:rRNA from 1 species